GUCCCUGUAGCACAAUGGAUAGCGCAUUGGACUUCUAAUUCAAAGGUUGUGAUUUUUAAUCCUACCUGGGAUG